GCGCUAAUGGUGUAGUGGUAACAUGUCAGGUUCCCAUUCUGACGCCCCGGGUUCGAUUCCCGGUUGGCGCA
rfam:Saprolegnia parasitica CBS 223.65 unplaced genomic scaffold supercont2.388, whole genome shotgun sequence.